rnacentral:lncRNA from 1 species
CUCCUUUGUGGUUCUCAGGGAGGGUGGGUCCAGCAGAAGAUCACAGCAGGAUGGACAACAGCCCAUUUCCUGUCUUCUGGGAAGGACUAGAGCCGAAGUCAGAGGGACUUCCCCAUGACUUGCUCACCAACCUCUACCUCUCUCGUUUUCUCCUUCACCACAGUAGCAGGCAUGGCGCCAGAGGAGCCGGAAUAUUCCACCGUUCAGUGCCCCGAGACAAGGAAGGACAAACUGCUGUACUCUCUGGCUGGCAUAGAAGAUCCUGACACCCCCAGGUAUCAGAACUUCAGGAAAGGUAAGUCAGCCCGGCCAGGAAGCCUUUCUCUGUCCUUCUUCAGACAGCAGAGAUGCUGGCGGACAACACAUGCCCUAGAAAUGGCUCCUUCUGCCUUUGGUGCCACGUGGUCCUAUGUGAAGGACCACAAGCAGGCGGUGCUAGAAACAUUUUACAAGCCUUGGGCAUCUCUCAGCCACAGCUAAUAAAUGAAUUAAAUUAGAAUUAUAGCACAAUGAAGAAAUAAGCAAGGAUUUAUUAAAUGCCUAUGUACCAGGAAAUGGGCUACGUGCUGGGGGUACAGAAAGAGGCAAAGGAGACUCCCUUCCCUCAAAGAGCUCACAAUCUAAUGGUUGGGGGAGGGGAGAGGCGGCACCUGGGUAGCUCAGUGGAUUGAGAGCCAGGCCCAGAGACGGGAGGUCCUGGGUUCAAAUAUGGCCUCAGACACUUCCCAGCUGUAUGACCCUGGGCAAGUCACUUAACCCCCAUUGCCCAGCCCUUACCACUCUUCUGCCUUGGCACCAGUGUUGAUUCUGCAACAGAAUGGGAGGGUUAAAAAAAACAAUCUAAUGGUAUGAAUUACUUAAUUAUCCAAUAAGCAGUGGGACCACAGAGAAGUCCUUAACUUCUUUGGGCCUCAGUUUCCUUAUCUGAAAAAUGUAAAAUUUCUAUUAUUGUGAGAGAAUCAUUCUUGUUUGUGGUUUGUGUUUUAUUUUUAAAUUAUCUAUAAAAGCCUUUUGUUUCUUUUGCCACACAUUCUGUGGCAUAUUUGUAAGAUAAAAAAAUGGGGGGAAAGGAGAGAAGUUGGAUUUGGUGAUCACCAAAUUCCUUUCUAACCCUAAACCUAUGAUCCAAUGACUAGAUUCCCCAGCCCAUAGGGAGCCACCAAGGUUUUUUGAGGGGAGUAGCCUGAUUAAGAAGAGGGUUUUCCCAAGUUAAAUGCAUCUAAAUAUGAUACAUAAAUAAAUUAUAUUUAUAUAUUAUAUAUAAUUAAUAA